rnacentral:rRNA from 1 species
GACGAACGCUGGCGGCGUGCUUAACACAUGCAAGUCGAACGGUGAAGCUCCAGCUUGCUGGAGUGGAUCAGUGGCGAACGGGUGAGUAACACGUGAGCAACCUGCCCCUGACUCUGGAAUAAGCGCUGGAAACGGCGUCUAAUACUGGAUACGAGAAGGGUCCGCAUGGGCACUUUCUGGAAAGUUUUUCGGUUGGGGAUGGGCUCGCGGCCUAUCAGCUUGUUGGUGAGGUAAUGGCUCACCAAGGCGACGACGGGUAGCCGGCCUGAGAGGGCGACCGGCCACACUGGGACUGAGACACGGCUCAGACUCCUACGGGAGGCAGCAGUGGGGAAUAUUGCACAAUGGGCGAAAGCCUGAUGCAGCGACGCCGCGUGAGGGAUGACGGCCUUCGGGUUGUAAACCUCUUUCAGCAGGGAAGAAGCGAAAGUGACGGUACCUGCAGAAGAAGCACCGGCUAACUACGUG